UGAUCCAGCCAUGCCGCGUGAGUGAUGAAGGCCNUCGGGUUGUAAAGCUCUUUUGUGCGGGAAGAUAAUGACGGUACCGCNAGAAUAAGCCCCGGCUAACUUCAUGCCAGCAGCCGCGGUAAU
rnacentral:rRNA from 1 species